UCUUCGGGAUGAUCAAAGAAAGUAGUUUCUUGAGAUAGAAUACACUUCUGGUGAAGAUGCUGUGAA
rnacentral:pre_miRNA from 2 species